AGAGUUUGAUCCUGGCUCAGAGUGAACGCUGGCGGCAGGCCUAACACAUGCAAGUCGAACGGCAGCACAGCAGUAGCAAUACUGUGGGUGGCGAGUGGCGGACGGGUGAGGAAUACAUCGGAAUCUACCUUGUCGUGGGGGAUAACGUAGGGAAACUUACGCUAAUACCGCAUACGAACYAUGGUUGAAAGCGGCGGACCGCAAGGCGUCGCGCGAUUGGAUGAGCCGAUGUCCGAUUAGCUAGUUGGCGGGGUAAAGGCCCACCAAGGCGACGAUCGGUAGCUGGUCUGAGAGGAUGAUCAGCCACACUGGAACUGAGACACGGUCCAGACUCCUACGGGAGGCAGCAGUGGGGAAUAUUGGACAAUGGGGGCAACCCUGAUCCAGCCAUGCCGCGUGUGUGAAGAAGGCCUUCGGGUUGUAAAGCACUUUUGUUGGGGAAGAAAAGCACUGGGCUAAUACCUUGGUGUCAUGACGGUACCCAAAGAAUAAGCACCGGCUAACUUCGUGCCAGCAGCCGCGGUAAUACGAAGGGUGCAAGCGUUACUCGGAAUUACUGGGCGUAAAGCGUGCGUAGGCGGUUUGUUAAGUCUGUCGUGAAAGCCCCGGGCUCAACCUGGGAAUGGCGAUGGAAACUGGCGAGCUAGAGUACGGUAGAGGAGAGUGGAAUUCCCGGUGUAGCAGUGAAAUGCGUAGAGAUCGGGAGGAACAUCAGUUGCGAAGGCGGCUCUCUGGACCAGUACUGACGCUGAGGCACGAAAGCGWGGGGAGCAAACAGGAUUAGAUACCCUGGUAGUCC
rnacentral:rRNA from 1 species